rnacentral:rRNA from 1 species
CGUAACAAGGUUUCCGUAGGUGAACCUGCGGAAGGAUCAUUAACGAGUUUUGAAAGGGGUUGUAGCUGGCCUUACGGGGCAUGUGCACACCCUGCUCAUCCACUCUACACCUGUGCACUUACUGUAGGUUGGCGUGGGUUUUUGGUCUUUGCGGAUCAGAGACAUUCUGCCGGCCUAUGUAUUCUACACAAACACCAAGUAAAUGAAUGUAAACGCGUCUAACGCAUCUUAAUACAACUUUCAGCAACGGAUCUCUUGGCUCUCGCAUCGAUGAAGAACGCAGCGAAAUGCGAUAAGUAAUGUGAAUUGCAGAAUUCAGUGAAUCAUCGAAUCUUUGAACGCACCUUGCGCUCCUUGGUAUUCCGAGGAGCAUGCCUGUUUGAGUGUCAUGAAAUUCUCAACUCAUAAACCUUUGCGGGUUUGUGGGCUUGGACUUGGAGGCUUGCUGGUCUUUACUUCAGCUCCUCUUGAAUGCAUUAGCUUGAUUCCCUGCGGAUCGGCUCUCAGUGUGAUAAUUAUCUACGCUGUGGUCGUGAUGUGUUUGGCAAGCUUCUAACCGUCCUUCACGGGACAUCUUUAUGACAUCUGACCUCAAAUCAG